GACGAACGCUGGCGGCGUGCUUAACACAUGCAAGUCGAACGGAAAGGCCCUGCUUUUGUGGGGUGCUCGAGUGGCGAACGGGUGAGUAACACGUGAGUAACCUGCCCUUGACUUUGGGAUAACUUCAGGAAACUGGGGCUAAUACCGGAUAGGAGCUCCUGCUGCAUGGUGGGGGUUGGAAAGUUUCGGCGGUUGGGGAUGGACUCGCGGCUUAUCAGCUUGUUGGUGGGGUAGUGGCUUACCAAGGCUUUGACGGGUAGCCGGCCUGAGAGGGUGACCGGCCACAUGGGGACGGGGAUACGGCCCAGAUUCCACCGGGAGGAAGCGGUGGGGAAUAUUGCACAAGGGGCGGAGGCCUGAGGCAGAAACGCCGGGUGGGGGAGGACGGCCUUCGGGUGGAAACCCGCUUUGGCCUGUGACGAGGCGUGGGUGACGGUAAUGGGUAAAGAAGAACCGGCAAACUACGU
rnacentral:rRNA from 1 species